AAGUCAGAUGUGAAAGCCUCCUGUUCAACGGGAGAAUUGCAUCUGAAACUGCAGAUCUUGAGUGUAGGAGGGGAGAAUGGAACUUCUGGUGGAGCGGUGAAAUGCGUAGAUAUCAGAAGGAACGCCGGCGGCGAAAGCGAUUCUCUGGCCUAUUACUGACACUCAGUGUGCGAAAGCUAGGGGAGCAAACGGGAUUAGAUACCCCGGUAGUCCUAGCCGUAAACGAUGGGCACUAAGUAGAGGGAAUUACCGAUAUUCUCUCUGCCGGAGCUAACGCAUUAAGUGCCCCGCCUGGGGAGUACGGCCGCAAGGCUAAAACUCAAAAGAAUUGACGGGGGCUCGCACAAGCGGUGGAGCAUGUGGCUUAAUUCGAUGCAACGCGAAAAACCUUACCGGGGCUUGACAUGAUAGAAGUAGGAACCCGAAAGGGUAACGAACGGUAUCCAGUCCGUAGCUAUUACAGGUGUUGCAUGGCUGUCGUCAGCUCGUGUCGUGAGACGUUGGGUUAAGUCCCCUAACGAGCGAAACCCUUGUUUUUAGUUGCCAGCGGGUUGUGCCGGGCACUCUAGAAAGACUGCCGUCGUCAAGACGGAGGAAGGUGGGGACGACGUCAAGUCAUCAUGGCCCUUAUGCCCCGGGCUGCACACGUGCUACAAUGGUCGGUACAAACGGAAGCCAAA
rnacentral:rRNA from 1 species